GAUGAACGCUGACCGAAUGCUUAACACAUCAGCAAUUGAUUGGUGGCGGACGGGUGAGUAACGCGUAAAGAACUUGCCUCACAGCUAGGGACAACAUUUGGAAACGAAUGCUAAUACCUAAUACUGUGAGAGAGCUUUGCGUCCCAUUAGCUAGUUGGAGAGGUAACGGCGCACCAAGGCGAUGAUGGGUAGCCGGCCUGAGAGGGUGAUCGGCCACAAGGGGACUGAGACACGGCCCUUAGGCCUUAGGGAGGCAGGGGUGGGGAACAUUUGACAACGGACCAAAGUCUGAACAAGCAAUUCGGUGUGCACAAUGAAGAUUUCGGAAUGUAAAGUGCUUUCAGUUGGGAAGCGGUACCAACAGAAGAAGUGACGGCUAAAUACGUGCCAGCAGCCGCGGUAAUUC
rnacentral:rRNA from 1 species